UCCACUGGGAAGUCAAGGAUGCUUGGUACCUGAAGAAGAGCAUUCUCAUCCCACCAACAGGACAGUUUUGAUGGAGACUACUCAGCUCCUCAGAAGCCUGUGGAAACCAGAAGGGGACAUCAGAUCUGCUGGAACUGAAACUCUAUAGUUGUGACCCACUAAGUGAGUGUUGGGACCCAACUACAUCGUCUGCAAAAUCAACGAGUGCUGAUACGUUCUGAGCCAUUUCUCCAGACCCAAGUUUCAUAUUUAUAAAGACUAAAUAUGUAUUCAAUAAACCGAUGUGUAUAGAUCCCCCAAA